CUGCUGGAAGGAACACCGAAGAAGGAAG
rnacentral:piRNA from 1 species